UUGUGAUGUCAUAACACUCACAGCGUGGAUGUCCUGGUGGUCUGGGGUUACUGGUACUGCUGCCAAAGGAGGACUGGAUGUUGUGGAUGGUCUACUGCAAAAUCUGCCUCUCUCUCCCCUGCAGCAACAAUUCAGCUGAGCGGCUUCCACUGCACAUGCACCGCCGACCGCUCUGCCUGGAUAGAAUUUCGCCAUUGCACAUCAACUCUGUACUGGUACCACAGCUAUGAAUAAAGGAGGAAGAGUUACGUGGUGGUGGAGUUCGCCCAGAGGUCACUGAAGC